CCUACGGGAGGCAGCAGUGGGGAAUAUUGGACAAUGGGCGCAAGCCUGAUCCAGCCAUGCCGCGUGAGUGACGAAGGCCCUAGGGUUGUAAAGCUCUUUUGGCGGGGACGAUAAUGACGGUACCCGCAGAAUAAGCUCCGGCUAACUUCGUGCCAGCAGCCGCGGUAAU
rnacentral:rRNA from 1 species